UACAGGGGGGGCAAGCGUUGUUCGGAAUUACUGGGCGUAAAGGGCUCGUAGGCGGCCAACUAAGUCCGACGUGAAAUCCCCAGGCUUAACCUGGGAACUGCGUCGGAUACUGGAUGGCUUGAAUUCGGGAGAGGGAUGCAGAAUUCCAGGUGUAGCGGUGAAAUGCGUAGAUAUCUGGAGGAAUACCGGUGGCGAAGGCGGCAUCCUGGACCGACAUUGACGCUGAUGAGCGAAAGCGUGGGGAGCAAACAGG
rnacentral:rRNA from 1 species